AUUGAACGCUGGCGGCAUGCUUUACACAUGCAAGUCGAACGGUAACAGGCCGCAAGGUGCUGACGAGUGGCGAACGGGUGAGUAAUGCAUCGGAACGUGCCCAGUCGUGGGGGAUAACGCAGCGAAAGCUGCGCUAAUACCGCAUACGAUCUAUGGAUGAAAGCGGGGGACCGUAAGGCCUCGCGCGAUUGGAGCGGCCGAUGUCAGAUUAGGUAGUUGGUGGGGUAAAGGCUCACCAAGCCAACGAUCUGUAGCUGGGCUGAGAAGACGACCAGCCACACUGGGACUGAGACACGGCCCAGACUCCUACGGGAGGCAGCAGUGGGGAAUUUUGGACAAUGGGCGCAAGCCUGAUCCAGCAAUGCCGCGUGCAGGAAGAAGGCCUUCGGGUUGUAAACUGCUUUUGUACGGAACGAAACGGUCCUGGUUAAUACCUGGGGCUAAUGACGGUACCGUAAGAAUAAGCACCGGCUAACUACGUGCCAGCCGCCGCGGUAAAAC
rnacentral:rRNA from 1 species